UAUUAGACGUCCACAUACAUAUAUAUAUACGUUUAAAAAUACUCACCAGUCCUUUUCCUCUGCUUAGCCACAAAGAAACAUACCCCAAUUGCCACUUUUGAUCAUUUAAAUGCUCUUUUCUUGCAGAUUCAAUAUGAAAGUUUUAACCUAAUUGAAAGCACAUAAAAAAAAAAAAGAUAUCGCGUCACUAAUCAAGUUGGUUAGGACUAUAUAUAUAUAGUAAAUUACGUAGGCAAGUGAACUUUCAAACGGUCAUAUCAUUAAGAAAUAUGAAGCAUCGCCUCUCAGUGGAUCAAAAUCUCAUCAAAUGGCCGGGUUACUAGUUUUGAAAUUUCA
rnacentral:lncRNA from 1 species